rnacentral:rRNA from 1 species
UACGGGGGGAGCAAGCGUUGUUCGGAUUUACUGGGCGUAAAGGGCGCGUAGGCGGACAUUUAAGUUAGAGGUGAAAGCCCAGGGCUCAACCCUGGAAUAGCCUUUAAUACUGGAUGUCUUGAGUUCGGGAGAGGUGAGUGGAAUGCCGAGUGUAGAGGUGAAAUUCGUAGAUAUUCGGCGGAACACCAGUGGCGAAGGCGACUCACUGGCCCGAUACUGACGCUGAGGCGCGAAAGCGUGGGGAGCAAACAGG